CAAGAAGCAGAGACAUGGGCAAAUCACUUGUUUGUGAUGAUAAGCCUCAUGGUGAAUUAAAGAAUAAUGAUCAAAAUAUGUGAACGAAUUGGUUGAAAGAGACAGUACCCUCACUCAGUAUCUCUUCCUUUUUCUUAGAAAUGGUUGAGAAAAAGGCAAAGGGAGCCCACCUGGGGAUAAACAACUGAAGAUAACUGACAUAGCUUUUGGAAUGCAACAUAGCAAGAUAGCAAUGUGUGGAAGGCAUUUCCUAGGGUAUGAAAAGGAUGCAGAUGAGAAUAGAAGACAUGGGCUCACAAUACAUUUUAAGAGGAAGUCAUCAGCAUUUUAAUCCUCUACAAGAACCAUAGACACCCACGCAGCUGUUGUCAGAAGAAAAGGUAAGAAAAACAAUUUUUUUUCCAACAGCAGAAAAGAAUUUGAAUUACUACUUCUUUUAGUCACUUAUUUUUCUCACUCAUGUGCAGUAUUUUCUUUAACUUGGGUACCGCGUUUUGGUUACUAAUAACUGCUGAUCUGUCCUGAAUGAAUGGAUUAGUUUAUAGGAAAGAUUUGCAUGAUAGAGAAUCAAUAGGGCAAGUUUAAAUCCCUUGCUGGUGUGGAGAGAGGAAACAAAUUAAUCUGGUGAUUGUUGAUAAAUUGUGAGCAGAGAAGUGAAAAAAUAUAUUUUUUGGGGGGAAAAAUGAUCGUCUGUAAUGUCAAAAGUGAAAAAUACCAGGAAAAUUCAAGUAAGGGAUCCUAAGCCUCUGCUUUAUCCCACACUCAUAAAAACUGAUUUGAGCUGAUGUUGGAUUCUAUCCAUUAAUAGAGAAAAAAUGACUUUCACAAUUAACUCCUUAUAUGAAUAAGGAGUUUUGCCCAAUAUGAAGUGGUAUACCUGGAUGUUAUAUGUGUGAGGCUACUUUAAGAGAGUCUUAACCCAUAAAUAAGGGAAAGAAGGGAGGAAAGGAC
rnacentral:lncRNA from 1 species